UGAACGCUGGCGGCGUGCCUAAUACAUGCAAGUCGAACGAUGAAGUCCUAGCUUGCUAGGAUGGAUUAGUGGCGCACGGGUGAGUAAUAUAUAGUUAAUCUGCCCUACACAGAGGAACAACAGUUGGAAACGGCUGCUAAUACCUCAUACUCCUAUUUGACAUAAGUUAAAUAGGGAAAGUCUUUUCGGUGUAGGAUGAGACUAUAUCGUAUCAGCUAGUUGGUAAGGUAAUGGCUUACCAAGGCUAUGACGCGUAACUGGUCUGAGAGGAUGAUCAGUCACAUUGGAACUGAGACACGGUCCAAACUCCUACGGGAGGCAGCAGUAAGGAAUAUUGCGCAAUGGGGGAAACCCUGACGCAGCAACGCCGCGUGGAGGAUGACACUUUUCGGAGCGUAAACUCCUUUUAUCAGGAAAGAAUAAUGACGGUACCUGAUGAAUAAGCACCGGCUAACUCCGUGCCAGCAGCCGCGGUUAUACGGGGGGUGCAAGCGUUACUCGGAAUCACUGGGCGUAAAG
rnacentral:rRNA from 1 species